rnacentral:rRNA from 1 species
GACGAACGCUGGCGGCGUGCCUAAUACAUGCAAGUCGAGCGAAGUGGAGGAAGCUUGCUUCCAAAGCUUAGCGGCGAACGGGUGAGUAACACGUGGGCAACCUGCCUGACAGACUGGGAUAACUUGGGGAAACUCAAGCUAAUACCGGAUAGGAUCGCGAACCGCAUGGAACGCGAUGGAAAGUCUGAACGACACUGUCAGAUGGGCCCGCGGCGCAUUAGCUAGUUGGUGGGGUAAGGGCCUACCAAGGCGACGAUGCGUAGCCGACCUGAGAGGGUGACCGGCCACACUGGGACUGAGACACGGCCCAGACUCCUACGGGAGGCAGCAGUAGGUAAUCUUCCACAAUGGGCGAAAGCCUGAUGGAGCAACGCCGCGUGAGUGAUGAAGGUUUUCGGAUCGUAAAGCUCUGUUGUUAGGGAAGAACACCCGGGAGAGGAUCCCGGUUUGACGGUACCUAACGAGAAAGCUCCGGCUAACUACGUGCCAGCAGCCGCGGUAAGAC